GCCUACGGGGGGCAGCAGUGGGGAAUAUUGCACAAUGGGGGAAACCCUGAUGCAGCGACGCCGCGUGAGUGAGGAAGUAUUUCGGUAUGUAAAGCUCUAUCAGCAGGGAAGAAAAUGACGGUACCUGACUAAGAAGCCCCGGCUAACUACGUGCCAGCAGCCGCGGUAAUACGUAGGUGGCAAGCGUUAUCCGGAUUUACUGGGUGUAAAGGGCGUGUAGGCGGGGGGGCAAGUCAGAUGUGAAAACCACGGGCUCAACCUGUGGCC
rnacentral:rRNA from 1 species